AAACGAAUUCUGACGUGUUCGAAAAUCAGAAUUAAUCAACAAUCUGUGAUUAACAAACAAAUUUUAAACAACGACUUUGUAUUCGAUUAACAGUGUAAGAGUAAGGGACAGGGAUUAAGUAAGGAUCAUUGAUCAGUGAUUUCGUGGUUCACCGUGUGUAUUUUUGAUUGCCGGAAUUUCUCGCGAUUAAGUCUUAAUAACGGUUCUGAACAAUCAGAGACCUUUGAUAUAAGUUUUGUUUCCGUUUGUGACGGCAACUAGAACCACUUGUGGCAUCAUCACCGAACCCAUCAACCUCCACUAAGGAGUAAGCGGGCCCGGCUUCCCGUUUUACCUUCUUCUGGGCCAGAUCUUUCUGCACUCGGGAUGUGGAAAUCGCCAGUUGACCGUCCUUCAGACUUCCAGUAUUGUGCUCCGCAACGUUCACAUGAUACAUAUCCAUCAAAUAACGGCUCAUCUUCUAUCAAGGGUGGUAUCCAUUGGUCUAACUUACGGGAAUCGGUGAUGGAAUAGUUUGAGCCAAUUGUUGAGCGGUGAGAAGAGACCGACUAAUGGCUACAGGCUAUUUGGAAUCGAGUUGCUUGAACACUCAACUGUGGAUGAAACUUCACCGGUGGCUAUGUCUAGAGCAGUGGCUGAACAAAGACCAGUCUUCGUUCUUGAUACAGAAUCUGAUUUGCGUUCUGAUAUUCCUUCCUUAAGCAAGUUGUGAUCCUGAAAAAUCUAGCAUGAGAUCUCAUCUCAGGAGUUGUUGCAUACCAGACAAACCCGCAGCUGUACCAAAGUUCAUAUGCAAGGGAUUGCUGUUGGUAGGGCUGUCGAUUUGAGACAGUUCGGUUGUUAUGAGGAUUUACUGGAAAAUAUGUUUGAAAUUGAAGGUGAACUUCGUGUUGGUUGUUCCUAAGAAAUGGCAGGUUGGACGAUGAGGAUGACAUUAUGAUGGUCGGUGACGAUCCUUGGAAGUAAGUACAUUUCAUCACCAUUAUUACUUCCUAGCCUCAAAUAAGAAAAAUGGAAAGAAAAUAAUAAAAAUAAAGAAGCAUGAAAUUAGUGAAGCUAUUAUAAGAGAUUGCUAUAUGAAUAUAUUUUUCAGUAAAAAAAAAUAACAAA